AUGGGCCCUUGCCUAUUCUGACCUCUAUGUGGCUCUGUCCCUAGAGCAUACAUCAUAAUUAGGGUGGUGAGCAAAGAUGGUUCCUUUCAUACAAUGAGAUGUUCAUGAUACCUGACUCAUCAUGACAGACUAUAAUCAAAAUUGUGGUAAACUAAGUAAGUUGGUAGCACUACAAAGUAGUCAUUAACUAUAUAUUUCUCGGUUCUAUGAUAUUUUUUUUCAAUUAACAAAUCAAGAAUAUUUAUUAUAUAUAUAUAUGAGUUUUGUGGAUGUAAAUUUCCGCCUUCUCCUUCUUGAACAAAAAUGCAACUGCAAAACAAUUCACACCUUGGGUCAAGGCCAAAAGCCUCACGCACCCACAAUG
rnacentral:lncRNA from 1 species